UACGUAGGGGGCAAGCGUUGUCCGGAAUCAUUGGGCGUAAAGCGCGUGUAGGCGGCUAGAUAAGUCUGCUCUGAAAGCCCGGGGCUCAACCCCGGGAGGCGGGUGGAUACUGUCUAGCUCGAGUCCGGAAGAGGAGUGUGGAAUUCCUGGUGUAGCGGUGAAAUGCGCAGAUAUCGGGAGGAACACCGGUGGCGAAGGCGGUUCUCUGGGCCUGUACUGACGCUGAGGAGCGAAAGCAUGGGGAGCGAACAGG
rnacentral:rRNA from 1 species